GACGAACGCUGGCGGCGUGCUUAACACAUGCAAGUCGAACGAUGAAGCCUAGCUUGCUAGGUGGAUUAGUGGCGAACGGGUGAGUAAUACGUGAGUAACCGACCUUUAACUCUGGGAUAAGCCUGGGAAACGGGGUCUAAUACCGGAUACGACCAAUCUCCGCAUGGGGUGUUGGUGGAAAGCGAUAUGUGGUGGUGAUAGCUGGGCGCACGGCCUAGCAGCUUGGUGGUGAGGUAACGGCGCACCAAGGCGACGACGGGUAGCCGGCCUGGGAGGGUGACCGGCCACCCUGGGCCUGCGGCACGGCCCAGACUCCUACGGGAGGCAGCGGUGGGGAAUAUUGCCCAAUGGGCGCACGCCUGAUGCAGCGACGCCGCGUGAGGGAUGACGGCCUUCGGGUUGUAAACCUCUGUUAGCAGGGAAGAAGAGAAAUUGACGGUACCUGCAGAGAAAGCGCCGGCUAACUACGUG
rnacentral:rRNA from 1 species